UACAGAGGUGGCAAGCGUUGCUCGGUAUCACUGGGCUUAAAGCGCGCGCAGGCGGUCCCGUAAGUCGGACGUGAAAGCCCAGGGCUCAACCUUGGAAGUGCGUCCGAUACUGCGAGACUGGAGUACUGGAGAGGAGAGCGGAAUUCCCGGUGUAGAGGUGAAAUUCGUAGAUAUCGGGAGGAACACCAGUGGCGAAGGCGGCUGCUCUGGACAGUUCCUG
rnacentral:rRNA from 1 species